GAAACGACUGCUAAGACUGGAUAGGAGAUAGGAAGGCAUCUUCUUAUUUUUAAAAGACCUAGUAAUAGGUAUGCUUAAAGAGGAGCUUGCGUCACAUUAGUUAGUUGGUAGGGUAAAAGCCUACCAAGACUAUGAUGUGUAGCCGGGCUGAGAGGUCAAACGGCCACAUUGGGACUGAGACACGGCCCAAACUCCUACGGGAGGCAGCAGUAAGGAAUUUUCGGCAAUGGAGGAAACUCUGACCGAGCAACGCCGCGUGAACGAUGAAGUAUUUCGGUACGUAAAGUUCUUUUAUUAGGGAAGAAAAGAUGGUGGAAAAACCAUUAUGACGGUACCUAAUGAAUAAGCCCCGGCUAACUAUGUGCCAGCAGCCGCGGUAAUACAUAGGGGGCAAGCGUUAUCCGGAAUUAUUGGGCGUAAAGGGUGCGUAGGCGGUUAAAUAAGUUUAUGGUCUAAGUGCAAUGCUCAACGUUGUGAUGCUAUAAAAACUGUUUAGCUAGAGUUGGAUAGAGGCAAGUGGAAUUCCAUGUGUAGUGGUAAAAUGCGUAAAUAUAUGGAGGAACACCAGGAGCGAAGGCGGCUUGCUGGGUCUUAACUGACGCUGAGGCACGAAAGCGUGGGGAGCAAACAGGAUUAGAUACCCUGGUAGUCCACGCCCUAAACGAUGAGUACUAAACGUUGGGUAAAACCAGUGUUGAAGUUAACACAUUAAGUACUCCGCCUGAGUAGUACGUACGCAAGUAUGAAACUUAAAGGAAUUGACGGGACUCCGCACAAGCGGUGGAUCAUGUUGUUUAAUUCGAAGGUACCCGAAAAACCUCACCAGGUCUUGACAUGCUUUUGCAAAGCUGUAGAAAUACAGUGGAGGUUAUCAAUUGCACAGGUGGUGCAUGGUUGUCGUCAGCUCGUGUCGUGAGAUGUUGGGUUAAGUCCCGCAACGAGCGCAACUCUUGUUGUUAAUUGCCAGCAUGUAAUGAUGGGGACUUUAGCAAGACUGCCAGUGAUAAAUUGGAGGAAGGUGGGGACGACGUCAAAUCAUCAUGCCCCUUAUGACCUGGGCUACAAACGUGAUACAAUGGCUGUUACAAAGGGUAGCUAAAGCGCAAGCUUCUGGCGAAUCUCAAAAAAGCAGUCUCAGUUCGGAUUGAAGUCUGCAACUCGACUUCAUGAAGUUGGAAUCGCUAGUAAUCGCGAAUCAGCAUGUCGCGGUGAAUACGUUCUCGGGGUUUGUACACACCGCCCGUCA
rnacentral:rRNA from 1 species